AUCAACACAACAUCCACCACCAC
rnacentral:siRNA from 1 species